CCCACGAUAACGCAGCAGAGCAUUCGUUUUUCUUUGCCAGUCUGGACUAGAUAGCGAUCACUUACCAAUAUCACUCUGUCAUGUAUGUCGCGUCUGUUGCCAUGAUAAAUGUAGAUUUACAUACCACAGUGUGUCACUAGACUAACAUGUAUGGACGUAUCUAUAACUACAAUUCCAGAUACCCUAUGGCCCAUGUUACAAACGUGUUUAAUUUUUAGUUCUGGUUAGUUUGUUCAGAAAUAUUCUUUGCAUGUCGCAUGUAUAGAGAGGCAGCGCACGAUACCUAGCCUGGCCACUCUGCACGCAACACCCACUCACAGUUAGACGACUUA